AGGAUAUACUACUUAACUUUAUUUCAAAAAUUAUUUAGACCCUCAAAAUAAAUUAAAACACCCUUGAAAUAGGUGUGACAAAAAAAAACGCGCCAGUUUUUUCAGCCCACAACCCUUGAUAAAAAAUUACAAAAUUUUCAUCCCUUGAAAAAAGUCCACAACAAAAUUUUCAUCCCUUGAAAAAGCCCAACAAAAUUUAAAAACAUAGCCCAAACGUAACCAACAAACAGAGCUCUUAUCACUCUUUCAUUGAUAGCCUGAAACUGAGAAAUCUCACAGAGCGUGUGGAGAUCUCAUAGAGCUCGACGAUCAUGGAGAUCUCAUCGAGCUCGACGAUCAUCGAUUAGGUACGAUCGCACAGCUCCGAUUAGGUAUGAUCUCGGUUUUGUGACUCUUCCUCUCUCUUGGCGUUGUGUUUCUCAGCUCCGGUUAGGCUAUUCGGACGCUGAUCUCAAAGGGUGCUAAAUUUGGUUCCAAUCCUGUUCUUUCAACCUGCCUCUGCAUUUUCUUCCCAAACGUGAUUUUAAAUAUAGCAAAAAGCAUGGUGUUUGACCGGGUUUUAAGAGAAGCAAAUGGUGCAGCCCACUGCUUAGGAACUGCUUAGCAACAGUAGAUAUCAGAUUUCCUUUAUCAAGGUCUUUCCGAUUUUCCUCUGCCUCGCUCAGAUCCAUAUCCAUAUCCAAAAGAAAAAAGGUCAGUCACUACACUCACUUUUCGUCAUCUCAUCCAUAUAGCUACUGUGCUUUUGCUGCCUAUGAAAAUUUUAAUAAUACCCAACCCAGCUAUGCUCUAUCAAUUAUCAUAACAAGUAGCUGAAAUUAUAAUUGUUUAGAUGCUAUUGAUGUAAAAUUUGAGGACAUGACAUGCUUUGUUCAUCUUCUAGAUCAAAGUCAUUAAUGCGCUAGUGAUAGAAACUGAGUUGAGGGAACAUAAAUAGAUAGAGAAAUACAUACUUGAGCACAAAUUUUUCUAUCCAAUGUAUAUAUUGCUUUUAUCAUAAUCUAGAGGCCUAGGGAGAAAUUAUGGAAUGCUAGACCCUAACAUUACAGUUUGUUAGAAAUUAUGGAAUGCCUGACUUUAUACAUUAAACUAGUUGAUACUUUUUAUUAGAUUGUUUCUGGUUCCUCUUGUAUCAUAUCCUUAGAGCUUAAGAUCAUCAAGUACUUUGAAAUAUAAUGUCCACUGGAUUUAUAUAAUGUCUCAAACUCUACAUGUGAUAACCUGUGAAAAGUGUGACAGAAAGAGGAAUGACUAACCUGUGAUAACCUUUGUGUGGGGUUGUGAACCUGAAAGUUUCCUGCUCUUUUUGUACUUAAACACAAGUCAAUUUUCACUGUAAAUUAAACAUUUUCUUCUUUCUCCAUGUUACUACAAUAGUAUUUUAUCUUAUAAUUCAAUAUUUUGUGAAUAUUCUCUAAGCUCUAUCUGUUUGGGCAGCAACUUACAAGCUAAUGAGCAACGUGACAUGCCCCAUUCUUGAGUUUACUUGUGUUUCAUCUGCAAAGGUGGCUUUGCUGUUAAUUUGGGUUGCUGAUAUAAGGAAACAUGUGAAGAAUUUAGAAUUUGGGAAGAGACAUGUAUAUAAAGCUGUGCAUGUAACCGAUUUUUAUUUCCUUUCAUCAACUUUGGCCUUAUAUAGGAUGUAUUAGGAUUUGUUCCGUUCACCUACUACCAUGAUAGAUUGUGCAAAGAACCUUGUUUUUACAAUUUAAAACUCUUGCCCCUGUUGACUAUUGAAUUAGAUCAUAUAAAUAUUGAUCGGGUUAAUUUGACUUUUGGUAUCAUAUAAAUUCAUACAAUUAUGAAUU